GAUGAACGCUGGCGGCGUGCCUAAUACAUGCAAGUCGAGCGAACAGACGAGAAGCUUGCUCCUCUGACGUUAGCGGCGGACGGGUGAGUAACACGUGGAUAACCUACCUAUAAGACUGGGAUAACUUCGGGAAACCGUAGCUAAUACCGGAUAAUAUUUUGAACCGCAUGGUUCAAUAGUGAAAGACGGUUUUGCUGUCACUUAUAGAUGGAUCCGCGCUGCAUUAGCUAGUUGGUAAGGUAACGGCUUACCAAGGCAACGAUGCAUAGCCGACCUGAGAGGGUGAUCGGCCACACUGGAACUGAGACACGGUCCAGACUCCUACGGGAGGCAGCAGUAGGGAAUCUUACGCAAUGGGCGAAAGCCUGACGGAGCAACGCCGCGUGAGUGAUGAAGGUCUUCGGAUCGUAAAACUCUGUUAUUAGGGAAGAACAUAUGUGUAAGUAACUGUGCACGUCUUGACGGUACCUAAUCAGAAAGCCACGGCUAACUACGUG
rnacentral:rRNA from 1 species